rnacentral:rRNA from 1 species
GUGUCAGCCGCCGCGGUAAUACGUAGGGUGCAAGCGUUAUCCGGAAUCACUGGGCGUAAAGCGUGCGUAGGUGGAUGUUUAAGUGUGAUGUUAAAUCGUGGGGCUCAACCCUGUCGUUGCAUCGCAUACUGGGCAUCUAGAGGACGGCAGAGGCAAGUGGAAUUGGUAGUGUAGCAGUGAAAUGCGUAGAUAUUACCAGGAACACCAAUGGCGAAGGCAGCUUGCUGGGCCACUCCUGACACUGAGGUACGAAAGCGUGGGGAGCGAACAGGAUUAGAUACCCUGGUAGUCC